UACCGGUGGCUCGAGUGGUGGCCACUUUUAUUGGGCUUAAAGCGUUCGUAGCUUGAAUAAUAAGUCUCUUGGGAAAUCUGCAGGCUUAACCUGCAGG
rnacentral:rRNA from 1 species